AAAGAAUUAAUUCUUAGAUUUCCGUGUCCAAUGUUUGACCGUUUAUUUUAUAUAAAAUUUUUUUUAUGAUUAGUAUAUUUAUUAUUGCUAGAUGAUAAAGCAUAAAUAAUAUUUUAUGCAUGACUUAUUUUUUUAAAUUUUUUCAUAUUUUUUUUCAAAUAAGACGGACGGUCAAACGUUAGACAUAGAAACCUAAG
rfam:Oryza sativa Japonica Group DNA, chromosome 8, cultivar: Nipponbare, complete sequence.